rnacentral:rRNA from 2 species
GACAGAGGUGCCAAGCGUUAGGCGGAAUCACUGGGCUUAAAGCGUGUGUAGGCGGAUGCCUAAGUACCUUGUGAAAUCCCACGGCUCAACCGUGGAACUGCUUGGUAUACUGGGUGUCUUGAGCCACUUAGGGGUUACCGGAACAAACGGUGGAGCGGUGAAAUGCGUAGAUAUCGUUUGGAACGCCAAUGGUGAAAACAGGUAACUGGGAGUGCGCUGACGCUGAGACACGAAAGCCAGGGGAGCGAACGGG